GGGCACUCUAAAAAAACUGCCCGUGAUGAGCGGGAGGAAGGUGUGGAUGACGUCAAGUCCUCAUGGCCCUUACGGGUUGGGCUACACACGUGCUACAAUGGCAGUGACAAUGGGUUAAUCCCAAAAAGCUGUCUCAGUUCGGAUUGGGGUCUGCAACUCGACCCCAUGAAGUCGGAAUCGCUAGUAAUCGCGUAACAGCAUGACGCGGUGAAUACGUUCCCGGGCCUUGUACACACCGCCCGU
rnacentral:rRNA from 1 species